UGGGGAAUAUUGCACAAUGGAGGGAACUCUGAUGCAGCGACGCCGCGUGAACGAAGAAGGCUUUCGAGUCGUAAAGUUCUAUUAUAUGGGAAGAUAAUGACGGUACCAUAAGAAAAAGCCCCGGCUAACUACGUGCCAGCAGCCGCGGUAAUACGUAGGGGGCUAGCGUUGUCCGGAAUCACUGGGCGUAAAGGGUUCGCAGGCGGAAAUGCAAGUCAGGUGUAAAAGGCAGUAGCUUAACUACUGUAAGCAUUUGAAACUGCAUAUCUUGAGAAGAGUAGAGGUAAGUGGAAUUUUUAGUGUAGCGGUGAAAUGCGUAGAUAUUAAAAAGAAUACCGGUGGCUAAGGCGACUUACUGGGCUCAUUCUGACGCUGAGGAACGAAAGCGUGGGUAGCAAGCAGG
rnacentral:rRNA from 1 species